rnacentral:misc_RNA from 1 species
UCUGUCAAUCAAUCGUUAUCAGCAUCCGUUGCAUUGCACUUCAUCGGGGAAAGAAAAUCGCGUAAAUAAAAAAUCACACGAAACAACAAGACACAGCAAUAUACACAGUUAUAGUUCCGUUAAUUGAAUGAUAUCGUUACUGACAUAAAAGGUGUGAAAAAGUGAUAUUAGCGUGGAGAGUAUUAGCCCUUUGAAAUAUUUAUGGUUUGUGGAAAAACCAAUUUUAUGGCAUUCCCGUACUAUUGAUUGUGUUUUUAGUGUUUCAAAAGCUAUUACAUGAACAGAAUGGAAGGGAGUAGCGACUCUCUGUCGGUGGUCGCCCCGUCUGUGGGGGGGUCUUCGUCCGUAUUGCUCACUCCUGGGCGGACAAGAAACAUCGCUCAGGAUAUGGAAGCCCUCAGAUUAUCACGACAGGACAACCCUUAUUUACAGCAAGUAAUGGCGAGUAGAGAAAGCUUGAUAGAGAGCCAUGCUGAUGAGUGUGAAUCUGAUGACACCAUACUUAUGUCACAGGAGUUUGGCAGCACAGCAUUGGAUUUUGUGGAAGAUGAUCCUCUCACUUUGAAAGAGGUUCAUGAACACAUGAUCAGGUCCCCUCCACCGACAAGCUGUUGGCCACAUGAGUCCCUCUCGUACCGAGCGACAUCGGCGUUCGACUUCGGAGGCAGCCAGCUCUCCUAUAGCGCUUACUCGGUCAAUUCUCACGACAAGGACCUGCGGUCCCCGCGGCGCGCGCGCAACGAUGAGAUCCGCAACAACAACGCCCCCGGACGACCCAGGUCAUCUAGGUCCGCGUCCCCGAGGUCACAUGACCUCAGCCUGUGUGGGCGUCCGUUGUCGUUACCAGGCGAAAGUCACCUGCGUACGGCUUUAACCAAGAAGCAGUCUAACCAAAGCGAACGGUUUUCCCUCCUACAGCACCCGCGCCCACUGCGGAGGCCGCACGGAAGCCGACGAGACGAAGACAGCGUCCAACUCGUUCAGGAAUACGACAAGUAGGUUUACAAUUACGGCUUUAUGUCAAAAAGGUCUUACAAAUACGACUUCACGUCAAAAAUAUCUCUAAAGUGCGACUUUAUGUCAAAAAUAUCUCUAAAGUGCGACUUUAUGUCAAAAAGAUCUCUAAAAUACGACUUUACGUCCAAAAGAUCUCGAAAGUACGACGUAACAUCAAAAUGAUCUUAAAAAAAAUAAGAUUUACAGCCAUUGCUAAGUCCAUAGUAUCUUCGAAGAUGAAGUUGGUUUAAGCUAAGGUUAGUUGGUUGAAAAGAGUUUUGUUAUACUUAUGGGUACAUCCACAGGUUAUAAAAUUUCAAGUACUAAUGUAUAAAUUAUGAGAAAAAAAUAAAAGUUGGAAAUAGUGACGGGUUUAGUCGUUAAAAGCGAAUAAAUAAAAUAUCUACGUAGAAGGAAAAACGUAGCCAUAUUGGCAACACCGAAGGCAUUGAAUCAAUAAAAAUCUACGUACGUUAUCCUCAGUGUUGCAAGCCUUGAUGUGUACAACUACCAACUUGUGGCUUCUUGGUGUUAUUAUUAGGCUUAACUGUCUUCUCUUAUGAACGUGCUACGCUACAAAAAUAACUAAUGCAGGCUGUAUGGUCUCAAGAUCUUUGCCUGGCUUAUAAAAAACAACAACUAAUAAAAAGUUUGUAAAAUACCGGGAAAAAUACGGAGUUCGAUGCAUUCCUUUUCCUUGCAAUUUAUCGGGAUUAAUAAAAAUAAGAAGUGACUAUUUCAAAAGAUCAGUUUAAACAAAUUACCUGUAUCGUAUUAGAAAAAGUUAUUAUUUAAGUAUAUAAAAUAUCGGCAUUGUGAAUGACAAAUGGUAGUUGGUUUAAAAAACGGUUUUUUUUUUAAAUCAAAUGAGUUUCCUCGUGACACUAUUCUGCCUCACAAAGAGCUGCCGAAAUGUAUAAAGGAUUUAGAAAUGUUUAAUGGCGAGGGAUAAAAAUAAACAUUUUAAUAAAUAAUACAAAAAUAUCAGCUAAAGCACGUCCAAUAAACAAACUUGAACGUAGAAAAUUUAAGUUUUCUCGUAACGUCAAAUGAAAAACUCAAAAUUCCUAUAAAUGCUCACUUUUGUAGUUUAGUCGUCCCUAAAAUUCCUAACCUAAUGUAGAUAUAAUAGUGCCGAUUCAAGCAGACUGAACUUAAUUUUAUUUUAGUCUGAUAGCUCUAAAAAUAUUGUCAUCCUUCACUUACAAAUUACAAUACGUGUAAGAAAACGUACGAUACGUGUGAGUUUUGUUCUGUCUUUAGUUAAAAUUAAGUUGGUGGUUGUCCGAAUCGGCACAUAAUAUAGUGCCGAUUAUGGCAGGAGAAACUUAAUUUUAUUAAAUAGUGCAAGACGGAGAUAAAUAUUGUUUUAGAACUAUCAAACUAAAUUAAAAUUGAGUUUGUGUCUGCAAAAAUACUUAGAUUGAAGUAGAAAAGGGAAUAUAUAUUAUUAUUUUAUAUAUUUGAUAUUUAUGCUAAUGGUUUGUAGGAGCAAUGAACAAAAAAAAAUUUGACAUGAUUCUUGUAGAUUUUUUUUUCAUUGCCUCAGAUGGCAUUAACUCUCAGAACAAUAACUAAAGCAUAGAAGGAAGGCUAAAAUAAGAAUUCAGAAACUAUAAACCGGCUCUCUUCUAGCUUACGACACAAACUAUGAGUGAGAAAAGGACAAAUGAUUCGCUCUUUGCUUCAUUUUUUUCCGAGGUUGUCACAACAUGAAAUGUCAUUUGGACCUAUUGGACUCAUUUUAACUCGGCCAAAUAAAUAAUAACAUAACAUAAGAAGAUUUUACUUAUAUUUACCGAACUAUUUGACACGGUCGCAUGAACGUUGUUUACGAGUGUCUUGUGUUCAGAUUGUUUUAAGUGAUAAUUUAACAAUAUUUUUCCAAAUAAAUGGAAAGAAACUUUUAUUUAUAUCAAAUAAUUGAGUGUCUCGACUCUGUGACAUUAUGUCUUGUGUGGUAUGGGGCUGCAGCUCACAUUCAGGAAGAAAAGAAAAUAGCCAACAACUUCUGUCGUUUCAUCGAUUUCCUGUAGACGAUAACAAAGAGAAAGAAUGGAUAAUUCGCAUUAAUAGACGAAAUUGGAUUCCAAAUAAGUACAGCCGUAUUUGCUCGAAACAUUUUACUGCGGAUUCAUUUAUGUGUGUUCCUAAUUCGAAGUGGAGACGUCUUCGAGACGAUGCUAUUCCUACAUUGAACAUUAUAGAUCAGACAGAUGAAAUGGUAAUUACGGCCGAGCACCACACACCCGAAGUCUCGACGGCAAAAAGGACAAAAUUGUGGGUCCGCGUUAAAUUCCCAUAUUUCGCCAGUUUUUGGCUAGCGGCCCACUCGGCAGCCGGCCCUGCGGUUCGAGUAGUACGGGGCAGGUGCGUUGCUGCAAACCUGCAAGCGCAGGUCGCGUCCCACAAUAAAGCACGCCCCCUCUCCUAGGGUAUGAGCGUGAGCCGAUCGGGCCUCUUACCGUCUGUGCGGCUUAGACCCGGCGGUUCCAAUUUGCACGGCACGUCGAUCUACACCAGUGCACGGCGGAUGACAUCAUAAAUAAAUUCGAAUAUUACAAAAUACUUAACGAUAACAGUUGGCUAUUUUCUUUCCUUCCUGAAUGUGAGCUGCAGCUCCAAACUAAUAUAAACCAGACAAUAUAAUCCAAAAAUGGUUAGAUACUUACCUAUCAGAGACAGAGUCUCCUUUCAUCAAGAAGAAGAUAAUUGCAUCCUACAAAAAGAAAUCUUGUAAAAAAAAAAAUUAUCGACAUUAAUUGUAAGUAAAUUUAAUUUUAUCGACAUAUUACUAAAGUGAAACCCAACAAUGCAAUGAAAAACUUGUGACAACCUACGAAAUUACGAAACAAUUUUUGUAUAUCAGUCUUUGUCUAACAUUACGCCGGUUCCGUAAGAUAAAGUAGAGCAGAAUUAUAGAGUUCUGUUGCUAUUUUAGCCUUCCUUCUAUGCUUUAGUUAUUGUUCUGAGCAUUAACUACUUGGCCGGACAAAUAGGAAGCUGUUCAUGUAACCAUACUGUAAUUAAAUAUCUCCCUUUUUGCAUUAAUCUAAGGUAAAUAUAUCUAGUUAUUCUUAGGUAUAGUUUAGUGUAAAUUGUUAAAAUGUUCAGCUUAAUAGUUUGGAACAAAUAAAUAGUUCACUUAGUAUAAGGCGAGGGAACGUUACUUCAAAAGAAUAGAAAAUUAAAAGUAUUCUAGUUAGACAAUCAAAAGUGUAUUUCAUUUUUCAUUGGUUAUUGUAUUAUAAAAUGAUUUACGAUAUUAUUUGAGAAAUAUAUCCUCGAUUCAGGUAGUUGCUAACUAUGCACUAGUGCCGACUCUGUCGGACAAAACUCAAUUUACUCAGACAGUUCUAGAAAUAGUGCUGUCCUUCACUUACGAGGAGCGCGAGACAGAGAUAAAGCUAGUUUUAGAAGUAACAACUAAAUAAUUAAUUUGAUGUCUAUGCCUAUUGAUGUCAGCAACGCAGACGUAAUUUGAUUUUGACAUUUCUAAAAAUAAUCAAUGAUUGUCAAAUUUGUUUUCGAAUUCAUAUUUGAAUUAUGACGUGCUCAGCGGUGAAGGAAAACAUUGUGAGGCAACCCACAUUCCCGAGAAAUGCA